GACGAACGCUGGCGGCGUGCCUAAUACAUGCAAGUCGAGCGAACAGAAAAGGAGCUUGCUCCUUUGACGUUAGCGGCGGACGGGUGAGUAACACGUGGGCAACCUACCCUAUAGUUUGGGAUAACUCCGGGAAACCGGGGCUAAUACCGAAUAAUCUCUUUUGCUUCAUGGUGAAAGACUGAAAGACGGUUUCGGCUGUCGCUAUAGGAUGGGCCCGCGGCGCAUUAGCUAGUUGGUGAGGUAACGGCUCACCAAGGCGACGAUGCGUAGCCGACCUGAGAGGGUGAUCGGCCACACUGGGACUGAGACACGGCCCAGACUCCUACGGGAGGCAGCAGUAGGGAAUCUUCCACAAUGGGCGAAAGCCUGAUGGAGCAACGCCGCGUGAGUGAAGAAGGUUUUCGGAUCGUAAAACUCUGUUGUAAGGGAAGAACAAGUACAGUAGUAACUGGCUGUACCUUGACGGUACCUUAUUAGAAAGCCACGGCUAACUACGUGCCAGCCGCCGCCGUAA
rnacentral:rRNA from 1 species